GAUGAACGCUGGCGGCGUGCCUAAUACAUGCAAGUCGAGCGAACAGACGAGGAGCUUGCUCCUCUGAUGUUAGCGGCGGACGGGUGUGUAACACGUGGAUAACCUACCUAUAAGACUGGGAUAACUUCGGGAAACCGGAGCUAAUACCGGAUAACAUGCUGAACCGCAUGGUUCAACAGUGAAAUACGGUCUUGCUGUCACUUAUAGAUGGAUCCGCGCCGCAUUAGCUAGUUGGUAAGGUAACGGCUUACCAAGGCAACGAUGCGUAGCCGACCUGAGAGAGUGAUCGGCCACACGGGAAGUGGGACAGGGACAAGGCUACUACGGGAGGCAGCAGUAGGGAAUCGUCCGCAAUGGGCGAGAGCCUGACGGAGCAACGCCGCGUGAGUGGAGAAGGUCUUCGGAGCGUGAAACUCUGUUAUUAGGGAAGAACAGAUGUGUAAGUAGAUAUGCACGUAUUGACGGUACCUAGUCAGAAAGCCACGGCUAACUACGUG
rnacentral:rRNA from 1 species